rnacentral:rRNA from 1 species
AUACAUGCAGUCGAGCGAACUUUUGGGAGCUUGCUCCCAAAAGUUAGCGGCGGACGGGUGAGUAACACGUGGGCAACCUGCCUAUAAGACUGGGAUAACUUCGGGAAACCGGAGCUAAUACCGGAUAACAUAUGAGACCACAUGGUCUCAUAUUAAAAGAUGGCUUUUAGCUAUCACUUAUAGAUGGGCCCGCGGCGCAUUAGCUAGUUGGUGAGGUAAUGGCUCACCAAGGCGACGAUGCGUAGCCGACCUGAGAGGGUGAUCGGCCACACUGGGACUGAGACACGGCCCAGACUCCUACGGGAGGCAGCAGUAGGGAAUCUUCCGCAAUGGACGAAAGUCUGACGGAGCAACGCCGCGUGAGCGAAGAAGGUCUUCGGAUCGUAAAGCUCUGUUGUUAGGGAAGAACAAGUACCGUUCGAAUAGGGCGGUACCUUGACGGUACCUAACCAGAAAGCCACGGCUAACUACGUGCCAGCAGCCGCGGUAAUACGUAGGUGGCAAGCGUUAUCCGGAAUUAUUGGGCGUAAAGCGCGCGCAGGCGGUCCUUUAAGUCUGAUGUGAAAGCCCACGGCUCAACCGUGGAGGGUCAUUGGAAACUGGGGGACUUGAGUGCAGAAGAGGAGAGCGGAAUUCCACGUGUAGCGGUGAAAUGCGUAGAGAUGUGGAGGAACACCAGUGGCGAAGGCGGCUCUCUGGUCUGUAACUGACGCUGAGGCGCGAAAGCGUGGGGAGCGAACAGGAUUAGAUACCCUGGUAGUCCACGCCGUAAACGAUGAGUGCUAAGUGUUAGAGGGUUUCCGCCCUUUAGUGCUGCAGCAAACGCAUUAAGCACUCCGCCUGGGGAGUACGGUCGCAAGACUGAAACUCAAAGGAAUUGACGGGGGCCCGCACAAGCGGUGGAGCAUGUGGUUUAAUUCGAAGCAACGCGAAGAACCUUACCAGGUCUUGACAUCCCGUGACACUCUAGAGAUAGGGCUUUCCCCUUCGGGGGACACGGUGACAGGUGGUGCAUGGUUGUCGUCAGCUCGUGUCGUGAGAUGUUGGGUUAAGUCCCGCAACGAGCGCAACCCUUGAUCUUAGUUGCCAGCAUUUAGUUGGGCACUCUAAGGUGACUGCCGGUGACAACCGAGGAAGGUGGGGAUGACGUCAAAUCAUCAUGCCCCUUAUGACCUGGGCUACACACGUGCUACAAUGGAUGGUACAAAGGG